rnacentral:misc_RNA from 1 species
UUCUCUUUCUAGUCACAAUUCGCUGCUGGCCUUCUCCCGCGAUACCACCACACUCCUCUUUCACCUUUAUUUCAUUAUUAUUUUCUAUUGCAGGCAGCAGGCGCAGCAGUAAGAAAAUCGCGUUUUUUUAGUAGUACAUUUAACGAGAUAUACUUACGACGGUCGGUGUAUGUGCGGUGCGGUGUGGUGUAAAGUAACAGGUGUUUUUCUAUUCGGAUUUUUAUUUUUUUUUUUGGGGGAAUUUUGAAAGUGCCAAUGAUGACCGAGACGGUGGUGAAUGUCCAGGAAGCGCCGAAUAAUAAUGCCGCCCCUAAUAAGCCGCAGAGGGGGAACGAGCAGGCCCUUUCUUGGAUUAAAAUCAACAUUGAUUACUUUAAGACUACGCCUGGAUUGUUGAAAGUUGCCGAGUUCAUAUUGGGUAUAUUUUGUAUGGGGUUGGCCUCACCUGCUUUCGGUGGAGGAUCACACUUCUUCCUGUUCGUAGUUACAGUCAGCUUCAUCGGAACGAUCAUCUGGAUCUUUAUUUAUUUGUUGGGUAUUAGGGAGGCGCUCACUUUCCCUAUUAAUUGGAUUCUUACGGAAUUAGUGAAUACGGGCCUAGUAACAGUGGGCUACUUCAUCGGAUUCAUUCUUCAGCUGAUCACUUCUGCAGGACUCCACUACUCUUAUUAUCGCCGAGGGGCGCAUAUCACUGCUGGGGUUUUCGGCCUUUUUAACUUCCUAGUGUAUGGAUUUGCCACCUAUCUGUUACACCUUGAAUGGAAAGGCAGCAGGACGAAUCAAUGAGAUCUUUAGUUGUUAAAAAUGAGGUUAUGCUGAUGACUAAAUUAGGACUGUUUAGCUUUAAGAUCGUACCUACACAUGCUGUAGAUAUACAACAAACAAAAAUAAGUGCCUUUUGCAGCAGUUCAUUUAUUAUUAGUUACGUAAUUAUUUAUAAAUUAUAUUAUUUGUUAUAUGGUUUGUGAAAGUAUUAACAAAGGCACAUAAUCAGUUUAUGGCUUUAUAUAUUUUUUAGAGUUAGAAAUGGUUUCAAUGCAAUAAAAUUAAAAUUUUUAUAUAAAUAGUUGUAUAAAAGUACCGCCUUUGGGCGGUUUUUUUAUUCAACUAGCGAUACAUCACGUCAUGAAGAAUAUGACAUCAAACAUUUGUUUAAUGAUAAUAAUAAUAAAAUAAAAAGUUUUAUACUUUAGACCUUUUUGAAUUCUCCCGGUAGGUCAUUUAAAAAGCAUAAUAAUUAUUUUUCUGAAAUUAUUUAAAAUUUGUUCAACUUGUCAUUUUUAGCAACCAUCUCAAAUUUAUCUGUCAUGUAACCAUUUGUUUCUUAAUAGACAAUUGAUUAGGUAACUGCACGUAGGCAUGAACAUGUUUUGUUUAUCACAAGAUAAUUCAUUUUUUAAAAUUGUUUUAAAUUGAUUAUCUCUCUCAGUAUCUGUCAAUUUCGGCAGCCAUUUUGAAUUUAUAAGUUAAUGCAGUUGUAGAACUUUCAUGUGAAUGUUUGUUUAUUAAUGGACAAUUGAUCAGGUGACUUGUGAUGAUCGACCAUAUUGGUUAGUUUAUUUACGACAGGGGUUAGUCAGAAAGUACUUUUUUACGUUUUUUGCUAGAAACCAAUUCCGUCUAAAUAAAAUAACAAAUUAAAGCAAUUUGAAAUGAUUAUAUUUAUUUUUGGGUGUUAUGAACACGUAUAUUAUGUGCUAAAAAUGAUUUAUUAAUGUUUUAGUGUGUAAGACGUAGGUUAAAUAUAGUUUUACUAGAUUUAUUUAAAUAAAAUAAGUGUUCUUACAAUAGAAAUUUACAAAAAAAAAUUGUUAUACAUAAAUAUAGUUAUUACACCAAUAUAAAUAAAAUAUGUCUUAUAAUAAUAAAUAUUUUUAUUUUUAA